CCCCCCCCCCCCCCCCGCCAACUCCAGCGGGGAGGAGUCAGUGGGACGUACAGUCCCGUCCUGAACUUGGGGCCGCGCCAAUCAGCUCAGAUAAAGAACUGUGGGCCCCUCCCCCGGCCGCGGGCCCCGCGGUGAGGCUUGGCACCAGUGCCCGAGACUGUGAGGUACGGUAAGGAGGUAGGAGGAAGCCAAAGCGGACAUCUAGAGAGGAUACUAGGUGCCCAGAGCUGGACUAGACACCUUCGUGGAUGCAAACACAUCUUCUCUCAAGUACAUCUCCAUAGACAUUGACCUUCUCCCCCUGCCAAAACAAAACCUCACCAAAACAUUUAUAAAUAUAGAGACACACAGGUUCCCAAGGUUAAUAAGUUAACAAGCAUCCGAGAAUCAAAUUCUAAAGACUCCAACUUGCCAGACACAAACUUGUAUCUAAAAUACCAAACAUGCUUUCACCUUUGCACCUGCUGGAACCUUCUGCCUGGAACUCUCUUUCUCCGGUUACCUGUGUGACUUUCUCCCUCUUCAUUCAGGAAAACCCACUCAACCAGGGUUCAAGAGGGGCCUCACUGGAUGUCAAAUGCAGGCCAGGAAGAUUUUCUCCAGUGAUAUCUCAGAGAUCCAGAUUGCUUCAAUAUUGCAACAAAGCUGUCUUAAAAAUUCUUUGCUUUCAGUUUAACUGAUGAAAGCAAGAGAGAGUGAGAGAGAGAGAAUGUGGAGAAUUCACAGUGGCUCAUGACUACCCUGGACACGGAGAAGUACAUCAUUCACACCACAUUCCAUUGGCCAGAACUAGUUAUGAGGCCCCAAGUAACUAAAAUGCUUGGAAAUGAAGAGGAGCAUAUAGAGUGUUUGGUGAGUACUAAUUAUCACUGCAAUGAAUAUACAGAAUGAUUUUGAUUUCUAGAAAAUUAUAGCUGAAAAAAUUUUAGAGAACGUCUAGUCUAGUCUAUUUCCUUAUCGAAUAGAGGUUAGAGAGGUUGAAUGGCUUGGUCAGAAUUGCAUGUCCAAGAAGUGGUAGAGUGAAGAGGUUCUGUCAUAAUAAUUAGUAUUUAUUACACUCUCAUUAUGUGCCAGGCACUGUGCUAACACAUCUGUGUGCCUCAAGUCCCUGGAACCUCACACUAACUCAAUGAGACAGACACUGUUCUUGUCUUCAUUUUACAGAUGAGAAAAUUAAAGCUUAGAGAAGACAGGUAAAGCAUCUAAGGUCACACAGUCAACAAAUGGCAGAAAGGAGAUUCAAACACAGACUGCUUAUCAUCAAAAUGCCAGCAAGCAAUCUAUUGCUUGAUGGUCACUUUUUGCUCUGGUCCCCAAAUUCUCCUUCUGAUCAUACAAACAGACUUCAUGGCUUUGGGGUUAAAUAUAAAAGUCCUCAUCAAAGAAUGAUGCUAUAGGAACUUUAAGACUGAAACAGCUCUAAUAUCCUUACUUGUCUAGAAGACAGGUUGAAGUCACUUGUGAGAGCAGAGAGAAAGCGAUGGCAUAAGCAUAGGCAGAUUGCACUGGUUUACCAUGGUGAAAUUUGCCCCAAGCAGGAACAAGAUUUUUCUUGUAAAGCAUAUGAGUACUUUGUGUCACAUGAGAAGUUGCCAAGACAAAGCACCAAGUAACAAACAUUAACUUAAACCUGCAACUUCUGAAAUUAUGACAUAAAAUUAACCAUCCAUUUAUUUAACUAAAAUGACUGCAUGCUUGAUCAAAUUUACUAAACUAGGUUGUUUUAGACCCAGCUUGCAAUUGGAGUCCACCAAAUAUGGAAGACAUGGGCCCACAUAGUUCUAAAACAUGUGGACAUUGGCCAGGUAAAAUAUGAGAUAAUUAACUGAGUACCAGUCCAAAUAAGUGUUUUGGAGGAAAAAUAAGUUUCUACUGUCUAGUCUUGAUGAGGUCUCCUGGGGAAUGAAGCAUACCCUCCAGGAAAUAUUAGUACAAUUGCCAUCAGGAGAACUGAUAGGAGUUUCAACUCUUGGUACUAAUUUGUUAAGUCCCUUACUUUCUUCAGAAAUGUCUGUUUGUUUGUUUUUUCCCCUGUUAAAUGGGGUGAUUGUUCUAAGAGUCCAAUGACAUGAUACGUUAAAGAACUUUAAAAAUCAUUCCAUAUUCAUAUAAACUCUACCAUUAACAUGACAAGUGAGAUCUAAAAAUUCAGUUGUGUAACAUGUGGUCAUUUUAUUGCAUGAUUAAUAAAAUGCAGGAAGUUCCAGGGUCCAAGUGUGCCAUCUACAUCUGUCGAGAAUCUUCUGAAGUUUAAAGUUGUGAUGUAUCCCAGUUAGUUGGCCAGUUGAGGUCAAGAGAAUAUUCAGGAUUCAGGGAUCCAUCUUCCUCUCCCUGCAUUCCCUAAAUGGUUUGAGAUUGUUUACUUUUUUCCCUUCUAGCUUUUUCUCUUUUUCUCCCACCUAAAUAAACUUCAGCUUUUCCUCAUUGAGAAGGGGCUGAUCAGAGGAUGGAGGUCCUUGCCAGUCAUGUUAUAUCACCUUAUGGGGGGAUUUCCAUUGUAUGUCUUUAGAGAGGUUAAAGAAGUUACCCAUGGUCAAUGUGUAAUGGAAUAGAGAAACAUUUGGUCUCCUGAUUGUUCUUAGGGAAAUCUCUGCAUUUAUUUGAGGAAAUAAAAUAAAAUACAUUGGUACAUUGUAAUCCAUGUUAUGCAUGAAGUAAGAAGAGGAAUUGGCAUUGCUGCAGAGGGGAUAGUGUGGCUUGGGGAGAGGAGUAGGGUGGAGAAAACACAAAAAGGAGAAAUCAAGAAAAGAGAAAGAAGCUGUGCGCUGGGCUCUUAGUAAUCUCCAGAUCAUCAGUGUAUGCACAAAUCCAAAUGUAUACUUGAAAUCAUUGCAUUUCUUGUGGAAAUCUGGGAAGAGGAUGAAUUCUGAAUCUGGAUUUCUACUUGGCUAAUAUGAAAAGAGCAUAGAUGAACACAGGCAUAUAGGCCCCCUCUGGCAUCCGAGUUACUUGUGAAAGGGCUCAAUACUACUUAGUAAGACAGUUACUCAUAUCCAGGUUACUUAAUAUAUGUACUAAAAUUUCUGUGAAAUGGUCUCAAUUUAACAUCAACUUUUGAAUCUGGGUCCAUAUAAUCCAUAGAAAGCUAAAUUUAUGUCUUGUGUUUGAUCUAACACUAGAAUAUGGUGAAGUUUUGAGACUUAGGGCUGAAAAUAACACUUUCCUUAAAUUCUUUUAGAUUGGAAACUAAGCCAAAAUCCAUGACUGGUUCUUCCACUGCACAUAAAUAAGCAGGGCUCUGCUGAGUAGCAUCUUGGAAAUUUUAGAAUUCUUCACAUGAAAUUGAAACUGCAGAGAAUGCCAUUUUAUGGAAAUAAAUCCACCCCAUGGCCAUUACGUGUAAAUUUUCUACUUUGUUCUCAAGUCAUAACAGGAAUAUUAUUUUCAACCUUUCAUCUACAUGUAGUUGAUAUGUGGAACAAAAGCUCACUUUACUGGCAUAUUAAAAUAUUUAUUAUCUAGGUUAUUAAAACAUUACCCAAAACCAGUGGUUUCUGGCUUUGUCCAACACCCCCUGAAAGAUAUCACACAGUCUCAUCAGUAACAGUGGCUUCCUAAAGCAAGACACUCCCUUAGGGAAUGGGGCAGGGAGGGGAAGCAAGAGAGGGCACCUGUCCAUUUGUAAGAAAUCUGUGAGGAGCAUAUCAAAAUUUCCAGGGCUUUGUGUGCAGUUAGAAAGAGCUCGUCUUGCUCAUCUUGAGGAUCUGACUGUUAUGUGUUGAAUUGUGCCCCCCCCCCACCUCAAAUUCAUGCGUUAAAGUCCUAACUCCUCAUGACCUCAGAAUGUGACCUUAUUUGAAGAUGGGGUCUUGACAGGGGUAAUCAAGUUAAAAUGAGAUCGUUAGUGUGGACCCUAAUUCAAUAUGACUGGUCUCCUUAUAAAAAGGGAAAAUUAGAAGACGGAGGUAAGACAAUGUGAAGAUAUAAGGAGAAGGCCGUGGGAACAUGAAAAUGGUCAUCUACAAACCAGGGAGAGGUGUCUGGGACAGAUCCCUCCCUCACAGCCCUCAGAAGGAACCAACUCUGCCAACGUCUUAGUUUUGAACUUCUAGCCUCCAGAACUGGGAGACAAUAAAUUUUUGUUGUUUAAGCCACCCAGUCCAUGGUGCUUUGUUACGGCAGCCCUAACAAAUGAAAACACAGACCUUCCAUCACUGAGAAAGACAAGAGGUACAAAGCUAACCAUGUUUCCGUAUCAUAACUCUGAGACUGGGAACCUGCUGGAAGGUAAAUCAUGGAAUUUGUUCUAGGUGACUGAAAUCCAAUGGGUAGGCUUUACUAGGACUAAAGAAAACAAAUUACUAAAAUAUGCUCUUAACCAAACCAUUCAUUUUAUUACAAAAAUAAUACAAUUGUAGUAUUCUGUUACUCCAAUUCUGGUAUUUUUCUCUACAAAUUUUUAUUUAUUGAGAAUUUAUAUUCCUAAUCAGAAUUUAUAUUCUGAAUUUUUAUUCAGAAUACCACCACCUGAUAAAUAAAUGUUGUGAUUUUUGUGUUUACUCUUUGUUCUGAUCUCGGUGCAUACUUCAUUUCUCUUAGAUGUCAUCAUAAUAUAGAAGCAAUUUUGUAGUUUGAUUUUCCCCUUUAACAGAAGUUCUCAACCAGGAACGUUUUCCCCACCCCCACGCACAGCCUGGCACUUUCAGCAGUGUCUGAAGACAUUUUUGGUUGCCACAGCUGAGCCAUCUAGUGGGUAGAGACCAACGCAGGACAGUCCUCCACCCCCUUAACAGUGAUCUGGCCUGAAAUGUCAACAGUGCUGAGGUUGAGAAACCUUGCCUUCUAAUAAAGGUAUCAGAAAUGUUUUCCAUGGUGUUGGUAUAUAGUCUUCAUAAUCUUUACUUUUAUGGCUGCAAAAUAUUCCAUUGAAUUGAUGUGUUAUAAUAUGUUUAACCAAUAAAUGUGUGAUGUGUUAUUCAGAUGGUUUCGAACUUUUCACUAUUAUAAAUAAUGGUGCAAGUAUCUUUUUAUUUAUAUAGCUUUUUAGAUGGUAUUGAAGAAAAAUUCCAAUAGUGCAAUUUAGAUUAAAGGCUAUGAAUAAGCCAAAUAUCAGUUAUUUCACUUAAUAUUUCACUUAUUACUGAGAAACUGCUGUAAGCUUCACUUGCAUAUAUAUAUGUGUAUAUGCUUUCCUUUCUAUGGAAACGCUUUCGUUUUUCUCAUUCCGGGCUGCCUCAAGACUCAGUAAUCUUAUCAGAAUUUGUCUGUUUCCUAAGACCAUUAAUUACUAAUUACUUCACUUUAGAAGUUACCUUCGCCUGCUUUUCACCGCUUCAAUCCUGUAAUCAUCACUGUUCCUUGGUUCUGAGCAGCCUUUCUCAGAAUGGAACCAGAGAACGUCUGCUUCAUCCCUGUGCUCUCCUACCUCACUCAUAAAGUCAAGAGAUAACUUACCACAAGUUAUCACAAGCUAACUUCCUAAAGGGGCUUCUCCCUUUGCCUUUGAAAUGGUGUAAAGAUUAUUUUACAUUACAAAAGAAUAAGACAAUAAGCUAUAAAGAGGUGAAAUUCUUAAGAGCGUAUUAAAAAGUGAAUAGGUUAUCAGGUCAAGAGAAACAAAUGAGGACUUCAUCCUUUAUUUAUGCUACUCAAGACUACUCUCCAGUCACUUGGAUGUUCAUUCCUUCAAAGAUAAGACAAAUAGUUAAAGAUGAUAAAAGCUGAUUCUCCCAUGGCCCCGAGAAACAAAAGACCACUUCACACCCUGUCUCCAUUCUCAGACACUCCUAACUAGGUGGAAGAUUGUGAUGCCAGCUUCCCGGGCAGGUGGUACCCAGCACCACAGUGAAAAUAUAUCCUUCUCAGUGCCGUAAUGAAACGGGGAUGCAGAUAGCUGCUAAAUGAUGAACAUGAGACUGAACAAAGGUGGAGUGAUCAAACAGAAGAAACUCGCCUUCACCGGCCAGAUGGAGGGGCAUUAUUCUAAUCAUAAGACUUGGAAUUGGAGUGUUGUAGAUAUUUGCUACCUAUUUGCCUUGCCCUCAUCACAACUGUCCACUGAGGUAUAUCAUAAUUACUUACUUUUGACCCUCUAACUCCCAUUUCCAUGGACUUCUAGAAACCAGGCAGCAACAUCAGAGAACAAACCUCAAGUCUUGAUUGUCCUGAGGCACCUCAGAUCCCUCCUUUUUGUUUUAAAGCGUAAGGAGGACAGGACACUCAUUAACAGCCAGAAUUUCCAAGAGGGCAGGGACAAUGUCGGUAAAUCUGACAUCAGGUUCUAUCAAAACUAUCUCAUAUAACUCACAAAAAUAAGUGCCAAGUGUAAAAAUAAGUCAAUAUACUAAAUAGGAAUAAAUAUAAAGGUAGCUCUAAAGUAAAAUUAAAAGAUACAUGGAAAGUUCUGUUUACUUUAAAUUGUCAGUAAUAAAACUAAGUGCAAAUAUUUCAAACAUCUAUAGAUUAUUUUUAAAAUGCAAACAUGAAAUAAUUAGAGAUUAAAUUAAUCUACAUGACAAUAUUUUAUGUCAUGCAAUGAAGAGGUGUAAAGGACAAUUUGUCAUGCCAUAUGUUUAAAUCCUUUCUGGAUUUCUUGAGGGAGAGACUAUAAAAGAAUCAUAACAACGUAAAAAUCAAAUUAUUUUAUUUAUAAAACUGACUCAUUUCACUAGUUGUGGUAUAGUUUACUAGGCCUGGUUUUCCCCUCAAAGAGCUUGCAUGCAGGUAUUUCAUUUUGGGAAGCAGUCCCAAGAAUAAGGAGCAGAAGACAGUGGAGAGAGAAGGAGGGCAAGAGGGAAAAUUGACACCAGGGUGCAUUCUUGAGUUGGUCACUGCUGUAGGCAACUGGGAUUCUCUGACAAGCAGUGUAGACUGUGCCUCAGAGUGGGCCACCCGGGGGAUGGAAAAGAGGGCAGUUAGUUCUUAUCCACUGGCUCCCAUCCCCCAUUGGUCAAGAGUUGCCCUAAAGGCACAAGCUCUCUUGUGCUUCCAGGCUGCACAUGUGAGGGAGUGUGACAGAUUCCCAAAGGGUCCUUCAAGAGAGUGACAGAAAAGCCCUACCUCAGAAAGCAAGAGACAAGUGGUGAAGUUAAUCUGAAGUGUUAUCAGGAUGCACCUGCAAGCAGAGGCACUGGCGGCAGCAAUGUCUGUAGUGAAAGGUGAGCUAAGAGGAAGAGACAGGGCACAGAGGUGUCCAUUACAUCUCACAUGCCAGUUCCAACUGACCCCUAGUGGCUGCCAGGAGUCUGGUUUUGAGAUGAAUCCAGGAGCUGAUUCUGGACUUAUCAGCAAAGAACCCAGUGUCUGCGAGGUUCAUCCUCGUUUUAUGUCAUCUGUCUAUAGAGAGUCAUAACUUUGUCUCCUUGCUUCCAUUGCUUCUUUGAAAGCAAUGAAGUUGAGGAGGAUUGUGGUUAGUGGAGCAGCCAGAAACCAACGUGACUUAGCUGCAAAUGCUCUCCUCACAGGAAUGUUUGAAUACCACUAUAAGACAUAAAAUAGAACAAGGGUCUUUUGUCCUAGCCUAACAAAACAAGUCUUCUGUUAGUUGGAUUGUCAGAGAACAACCAGUUCCUUUGGAUUUGUUUGCUUUGGACUGAAGAGAGUAGACCAUAAGAAUAUGGCAAUGAGCUUUUUUCCACAUAAAUGUCAUUAUAAGGUGAAAUGAUAUUGACUUUUUAAAGAGAAAAAAAGAAGUUUGUAUGUUAUACGUAAUUGAUAGGUGUCUGAGUCUUCUAGUGUUCUGGGAACACGUCUUGCUUCAGCUCCUUCCCCAUGCCAUGCAGCUUUAGGAAGGUCAGCUCCUUCUCUAAUGCUUGUAGGGCUCCUGGAAUGGGAGAAGUGUACAUUCUUCUGGUUGCCAUUUGUCAUCUGUCCCUCAGAACUCCCGGCCUUGCCUCAGUCACCCAUACAUGUUUUUCAUCACUCUUGCUGCCUGCUCUCUCCUUUCUUCAUCUUUGUCCCAAAUGUGCAUAAGCUACCCUCUCCUUCAUUCCAAGGUAAAUAUACCACAAAGCAGCUAUUGUCACCGGAUUUUAAUAAAGAUUUGGGGAUAAUAGAGGGAUCAUAGCAGAGGUGAAGAAGCUAAUUGGAUGGCUGAUUUCAAUAUUUCUGAAGAACUUGGCCAAUCCAUACACACAGGAAUCCAUUAGGGGCCAUCUUUCUCUUCAGAUGCUAAUGCCUCAGGUUGCUGGGGUCUGCAAUUUCCCGUCUUCCCACUUCCUCACAUUUCCUGGGGUCCUUAAUACUUUAUUCUCCUCUAGCUGCCAGGGAACAAGCCAAGAAUCCCUGUAACUUUAUUAAGCAACACAAUUUAGCUCCUGCUUUUUCUCAAGUUCUUUCUUCCAGACAUGCCCACGGGUGGUUCUCUAACAGAAUCACAAUAAGACCCAGAAACAAAUCUUCCCAAAUAAAAGUGAUAAGUCCUGCUCCUCAUUCAGAACACAGCUCCAGCAUGUCUACUUAAAAAAAAAAAAAGCAAUUUUAUUUUCCUCGUAUGUAAACAAAAGUCCAAUUCCCCAAAAUAGGCUUGAAGCUAGUUUAAGUUGGAAACUUAAGGAGUUCCAGUUAAAGAGCUGACAUUCCAGAGAAAGGUCAGCAGUUUGGAUGGCCACAGAGGCUGAGGCUGGUAGAAACAGACUUUUUAAUGGAGGAAUAUUUAAAUUCCUCUCGAAGCCAGAACAGAGGAAAGGCAUAAGGACUUUUCCCCCUAGAGUACUGAAGAGAACCAAGCACCAGAAAUGACAAUUGUGAUGGCUUUACUGAUGAAUCUUGUAUUUUUAGAGAUGUCAUGUGCAGUGAAAUAGUAGACAUUUUAGAAUAAACAAAUAAUAAAUAUUUACUAGAAUUAAUAAAUUGAUAUUUAACCAAGUAAAAGGGUGAAUAGAAGAACCAGAGAACAGUAUUAUUAUUAAUUAAAAUUCUUGAGUUGUGAACUAAGACAUUAAACCUUUUACAUCGGGAUUAGAAAGUCCAGUUAUUUCCCUAAGUCUGCUUUUCGCUCUAACUUCAGAUGGAAUAAACCCCCCUGGUGUGGGAGGUAGAAUUUGUGGGGAUUUAUUUCUUCUCAAGUUGGAGGGCAUUUGGAAAAAGCAGACUUUUGUCAUUAAUGCUCAAAAGCAUCCAGGCAAUUUUUUUUGGCAAAGCUGAUGAUUAAUAAAAGAGAUUAUUAGUAACAGAGGAAGGAACUACCUGUCCUACCAAACAUAAAAUCAAAGCACUCUUUGGUGCCCUGAGUAGGGAAUCAUGUUUAAGCCAAGUGACACUCCGCAGCCCAAACCAUAAUGCAUGUGCUGAAAUUAAUUUUAGCUAUAAAGUAAACCUAGGCAGCUGCAAGCAAGUAUCUACUGUAUUAGAACACUUCUCCAGUCCUCAGUGAGAGGGCAACUAGGAAGAAAAAUUGUCUUGAAAAAGUUAUUCUGAAACUAGAUUAGCUUCCCAUUCAAGAAAUACAAUUGUAUUCCCUUCAAAGUAAUUUUCCAAGUCAACUAUAUUUAUAGAACUCUUCAUAGUACUUUGAAAUGACACACUCUUCUAUAGAGUUCUCUCAGGAAAUUGAUUUUUAUUCUUCAAACACCAAGUUUGCAUCCAGCAUAGCCAGGAACUCAGGGGCAGAUAUCUUUGUGAGGAGCAUUUUGCUCUGUCAUUCCUAAGAACUAGCAGAGAUGGCUCAAGCUAAGAAGCGUGGGUUUGGGAUUGGGUCAUGCGAUGGGCAUCAGCUCCACAGUAGGCCCUUUUUGCCAAUCUCAGCCAUUCUGAAAAUGGGAUGUGCUUGGCUCCUUACAGAUAAAACCCCGUCACCUUUGCAACUGAGACGUGUAGACACCUGCACAGUUGUGUCAAGCAAAUUCUGUGCCUUUGAUUGUUCCCAUCCACAUGUUAUUUCUCAAGCCCUCACACAUCAUAUAAAAUGCCAUCUGUAGAAACUUUUGCUAGCACAGGUUACUCCAGGUUUCAAGCCUGCCUUCCAUCCUGAUGACUAGGACUCUGCCUGGCCUUGUUCUGGAUGAUGUGGCUGGCCAGCAUCUAGCUUUUGUCCAGCAUCUUGCUUCACAGAACUUUCCCUCUGUUCUGUGUAAUAUAGCCCCAGGUUAAGUAAUAUUCUAUCCCCUUGCCACGAUGAGUUCCCCAGACACUACACCCUAGAGCUCCUGAACAUUCCUUUCUCAGAGGAGAGAAUGAUUACUUUAGCCUGGUUAGAAUAUUUAAGAAGCCAAAGCCAGCUCUGCAUCUGUCAGCCUUGCUGUGAUCUUGUGGACUCUUGCUUUGAAUAUGUGAUUAAUACUGUGACUUAUGCCACAGUUCCACCACCUAAUUCCCCAUCUUAUGUCUGUCAACUACAUCUGGGUCAGAAUCCUUAUCUCGAUUACCCAUCUGCUACCCACGUUCCUCUGGGACUGACUGGCGGGACUCCUUUCCAGUCUCCUUUCCAGUGAAUAGAUAUUUGUCUUUGAGUAGAAGCCCCAUAUCUGAAUCACUGAUGCCAUGAUCAGACCAACCUAAGGCCAGUUUCCUUCCUGCUUGGUGCUUCCUCCUUAGUUUACCAUAGCCAGCCCCAUGUAGCUAUUGACUACUAUUUCUUCUCUUUGCCCUCCUGCCUCAGCUCAUGCUGAUGGCCUAUCAGUGUAACUACACCUUCUCCUUGUCCCCAGAGUCUCUCCACUUCCAUGUCCUAGCCAUGUCUGAUCUUGCUUUUUUAAUAACAAAUCAACAUCCAGUAACAAUAAUAUUAUGUAAGCUUUGUUGAACACUUUGUAAGUGUCAAUACUGGGCUCAUUAUCUCUAAGUCUCAUGACAUCCCCAAGGUAGGUCUCAUUACCCUAUUUUAUAGAUGAGAAAAAUGAGUCUUGGAGACUAUAAAACUAGAAGGUAGUGGAGCCAGAAUCAGGCUGGAGUCUGGCAUCAAAACCCAAGCCCCUCUAUGUUACCAAAUUGCCUUCCUUUGAGAAGAGCUGCAGUAUAUUAUCUUUAUUCGUCACCAGUAUUAUUAUCUUCAUUUACAGAUAAAUAUACUGAGACUUACAGAGCUCAGGAUUGAGGAAGCCAGUACACAAGCCAAAUUUGACUCUGAAAACUUUGUUCUUUCCACUACAGGAUACUGUCUUCUGUGAUGGCACUACUUUAUAAGUUGUGUAUUUGCUUUGUAAACACUCAUGUUUCCGCAUGCAACCAGUUUAAGUGCCCUAUAAUAAAGUCUCUUGUUAUUGUAUCUGAUUUAUGGCUUUCUCCCCUUCUGCCUCCUUCUCAGCUUCCCCUUCCACUUGUCCUUGGAAUGAUUCAUCUUUCCUUCUUCUCUUCAGCAGGCAUAGAUUGUCCCUGAGGAUGCUUAUAGAAUUUAAAAUAUCAGCCAGAAUGCCAGCUUUAAAUUACAGUGAGGAAUGGAGCUAUCAAGCUCUCUGGUGACUCAUGUUUGUUGAUCGGUACCCGCUCUCCCUGUGGGCAAAUUGAUGUGGGAUGUAAAAUUUAUAAUUGGGAGAUGGGUUGGCAAAAGAAGAAUUGGAACAAGAGAAGUGAGAUGAGGUGACUGGGUGUGACAGGCUACAGUGGUCUGAUGCAUUCAUUUCUGCAUUUGGGAUUUUGCUCCCAUAGGAUUCAGCCGAUUGGAUCCUUUGACCAGAGCACAGACUCUCUCAGAUUGUGCUAAUGCAGAGUGUUGAAAAGUUGUUAUUAUGCUUGAGAUACUUAAACAACUUUUAAGAAUUUAAAAACUGAGACCCAUGCAAAAAUAUUUAUGGAACAUGUGUAAGAUGUAAGGGAUAAAUACAAUGAACAUUCACUUAUCCACUGUCCAGUCCAGAAACAGGACAUGACCAACAAUAUUAAAGUUUCUUGUGUGUCCCUUUCUUACCUCAUUCCAUUUUCUGUCUCAGAUAACUAUGCUCCAGCAUUUUGUGUUUAUAAUUUCAUUUCUUCCUAUAAUAGCAUUACCUUUUCCUUGAAUCGCUCAACAACAUAUUAGCUUUAUAUGAAACGGAUCAUACCAUAUAUAUUUUUAAUAAA